rnacentral:rRNA from 1 species
CCCUUAGAUGUCCUGGGCCGCACGCGCGCUACACUGAUGCAUGCAACGAGUUUAUAACCUUGGCCUGAAAGGUCUGGGUAAUCUUUUGAACGUGCAUCGUGAUAGGAAUAGAUUAUUGCAAUUGUUAAUCUUGAACGAGGAAUUCCUAGUAAACGCGAGUCAUCAGCUCGCAUUGAUUACGUCCCUGCCCUUUGUACACACCGCCCGUCGCACCUACCGAUUGAAUGGUUCGGUGAAGAUCUCGGACUUCGAUAUUUAUUCUUUAUUGAGUUUAUAUUGUGGGAAGUUAUCUAAACCUCAUCAUUUAGAGGAAGGUGAAGUCGUAACA